GCGCAUGGGGGCAGCCUGCCCCCUGGCAGCCGGCGCGGGGAGGGAGCGCACCCGGCGCUCAGCCGCGCCGCCGAGGCCUACAAGGCGAUUACCGCCCCCGGCCUGGCCGGGAGGACGCCGGCCCUUGCGGCGAAGCCCAUUUUCGACAAUGGCGAAAUCGCAAAUUUCUUGCGGGCGGGGCGAGGCGGUGGCAGUCACCAGGUGAAAGAGCACAGUGGUAACGGAAAAAACUGACGGGAGGCAAAGAAAAUGGUAGAUAGCUAUAACGUUGUAUCUUUCCAUGGUAUAUAUCUCACGUCAAAUCUUUUGAUGGUAUAUAUCUAAAUGUUGGUUCUUUUGAUGGUAAGGAUCCAAUUUUCCUAUAUAGAUAACUAGGUGUCUAGUUACCCUA